CCUCACACUUACCCUGGAUAUAGGUACCAUAAUUAUCCUCAUUUUACAGAUAGGAACAUUGAGCAACACGGAGAGGUUCAGCAAGGAGCUGGAGCCAGGAGGUGGCAGAAUCGGGAUUUGAAUUGAGCUGGACUGACUUCGGAGAACACCUCCUUAGCCUCGAAAUCGUAUAGUCUCCAGUUGGCUGCUGGUGACCUCAGUAACAGUGCCUUUAGAAGUAUGGUGGGGACAAUACCCAGAAACUGAGCAUUGAAUGGGAGCUGGUUAAUUGAGAGAUUGAGAAGAGUUGAAAGCAUUUCCACAUAGAAUCACACUGACAAAGUCCAACGAUCUGGCUGGCGGUCAGUUCAAGAUUAAGAUCUCUGGUGAGUGCCUGAAGGAGUCUACUAGACAGCAAAGACCAAGCCUUCUGAGUUUUACGCCUCUGCUCCCACCCGAGUGAACAUAGUUCCUGGCACAUAGAAGGACAUUAUGAAUGAGAGAAGAAAUGAAGGAUUGAAGGGUUCAACAUAGGAUCAAGGACAAAUUCCCACAGCAUACUACUAAAUCCUAGUUUUUAGGUUUAUUUGAACUUUUAGGCAAAAGUCAGCACAGAACUUUCAUUGUGGUUAAGUCAAGGGCUCAUUCAUUUUGUUCAUUUAUCACGUCAUCUAUUUUUUUCUACACAGAUGUCAUCGUUCAUUUUUUUUUUUUCACAAAAUUUAUGGAGUGUUUAAUAUGUUACAAAGUUACUGAGGUACGGACUAUGGGAAAAAACAAAAAAGACCUUAACCUCAAUAAGCCUACUGUUUGUAAGGAAACCAGCUAUAAGUGCUAUCAUUAUCAUAAUGAAUAGGAACCACAAGAGAAGUCUAGUCAAAAUGCUAUUAGGAUUCACGGAAGCAAAAAAUAGUUUCCUUGCUGGGCAGAGAUGAUGGUGGUGGGAGUUCAUAAGGAUGAAUUGAAAGGGAAGGCCAGAAAUUCUUCUAGGAUUUUGAUGGAUUCUUGUCUCACAUUUAGGUCUUCCAUUCAUUUUGAAUUUAUUUUCGUGUAUGAUGUAAGAAAGUGGUCCAGUUUCAUUCUUUUGCAUGUUUUCCCUACACCAUCUGUUGAAAAGGCUGUAUUUUUUCCAUUGCAUAUUCUUUCUUGCUUUGUCAAAGAUUAGUUGACCAUAUAGUUGUGGAUCUAUUUCUGGGUUUUCUAUUCUGUUCCAUUGAUCCAUGUGUCUGUUUUUUGGGUUUUGUUUUUUGUUUUUUGUUUUUGUUUUUGUGGUUUGUGUGUGUGUGUGUGUGUGUGUGUGUGCCAGUACUGCCUUGAUCACUACAGCUUUGUAAUAUAACUUGAAGUCUGGAA